AUAAUUCAAGUUCUCUCUAAUACAAAGCUUCCUUUAACAAUUCUCUUGUAUUCUUUCUUCCAUUCUCUUAGCGAUCUUGAGUGUAGUAAGGCUGACUUGACAUAGCAAGAACGUGAGCAAGUUGUGAAAGAUCGUGAGCGAGUUGUCAAGUGCCGCACAUGUACUUAGUUAACAACUAAGAACGUGACACUAUGGACUCUCGAGGUCCCCUAACUCCUCAACAACCCCUUCGAUAUUCACAAUAUGCUAUGUAUUGUUUUUCUGGCUGCUAACCAUGAUAUCCAAAUUAGUUAAUGUCAAAAUGUUUCCUUUUGUUUGAGUUUUGAGCCUUAUUCUGCUCUGGUACCAAUUGUUAUGUGACAUUAUCAACAUGAGGUAAGGCAAUCGAUGUUUGUGGUCACUUUUCGUCCAUUGGAUGACUGAUAGAUCGCACUAAGUAUACUAGAUUUGAAUGUUAGUAUCAUACCUUUAGAGAGGCAUAUCACCAAUUUUAAGUUAGCAGUGUAUGCAAAAAGAAGUUAAUAACAACAUAUCUGUAUUGAAGAUUAAGUAUUGAUUACAAGAGAACUAACAUAAUAUCAUAAGGGAGACCAAUAUAAAGACCUGCUUGCUUUUUGAGAACUUUGACUACUUGACCCUCCUUUCUAUGUCAUAAUUAAUUUAACAAAGUUACAUUACUAGAUUUAAAAGGCCUAAAAGGCAUAAUUGAAAGACAGUGUAUACGGUCAAAAUCAAGUAUGCCCGAUUUAGUGGGCUCGAGGAACUACUUCAAGAAUAAGUCCAAAGUACAUGGGGUUCGAGGCCGAUGGCAGAGUUCGAAGUUCGAAGAUUAAAGCGAUCGAUGAAUGUCGAGGCCGAACGUGACCAGCCUCGAGAUAAUGCCGUUGUCGCUUUGUAACAGAAAGAGCAAGAUUACUACCACGUUCCCAAGAUUGUGGCUUAAAUUCAGAAAUAGAUUUGUACGAGUUAGUAUGAAUUCGUACUAAGCGGUUAGACAACUGUCCCAAUAAGAUUCCUUACUGUAAAUAGAAAUUCACCUUAUCUAGGAUUCCCCUACUAUAUAAAGGGGACUCCAAUCAUUUGUAAACAUCAUCAAUCAUUGGCAAAAGAAUAUACUCUCUCACUUUCUCGCUCAUUAUUCAUCAGAAUUGUCCUUUAGCUUUAUUAUUCUUACUUUACUCUUCAUGAUCCACCUCGAACUCUGCCAUCGGCCUCGAGAUAAUGCCGUUGUGGCUUUGUAACAGAAAGAGAAAGAUUACUACCACGUUCCCAAGAUUGUGGCAUAAAUUCAGAAAUAGAUUUGUACGAGUUAGUAUGAAUUCGUACUAAGCGGUUAGACAACUGUCCCAAUAAGAUUCCUUACUGUAAAUAGAAAUGCACCUUAUCUAGGAUUCCCCUACUAUAUAAAGGGGACUCCAAUCAUUU
rnacentral:lncRNA from 1 species